CAUUACCUAGAGUUUGUGGGCUUUGCCCACUGUCUCUUACCCAUGUCUUUUGAGUACUUACGUUUCCUCGGUGGGCUCGCCCGCCGGUUGGACAAUUUAAACCAUUUGCAGUUGCAAUCAGCGUCUGAAAAACAUAAUAGUUACAACUUUCAACAACGGAUCUCUUGGUUCUGGCAUCGAUGAAGAACGCAGCGAAAUGCGAUAAGUAGUGUGAAUUGCAGAAUUCAGUGAAUCAUCGAAUCUUUGAACGCACAUUGCGCCCCUUGGUAUUCCAUGGGGCAUGCCUGUUCGAGCGUCAUUUGUACCUUCAAGCUCUGCUUGGUGUUGGGUGUUUGUCUCGCCUUGCGCGUAGACUCGCCUUAAAACAAUUGGCAGCCGGCGUAUUGAUUUCGGAGCGC
rnacentral:misc_RNA from 1 species